rnacentral:misc_RNA from 1 species
AACGCACAUUGCACUCUCUGGUAUUCCGGAGAGUAUGCUUGUUUGAGUAUCUGUAAACAUCUCAAACCUCUCAGCGCUUGCGUUCGAGAGGAUUGGAUUUGAGCGAUCCCGACUCCUUCGUCAGAAAGAGGAGGGUCGCUUGAAAUGCAGAUGCAGCAGGACAUUCUUCUGAGCUAAAAGCAUAUUUAUUUAGUCCCGUCAAACGGAUUAUUACUUUUGCUUCAGCUAACAUAAAGGUCGAAUGAACCACUAUCGCUGAUUGCAGGAAAACAAUGUCCCUUAAAACAGGACUUUGUAAACUCGAUCUCAAAUCAAGUAAGACUACCCGCUGAACUUAA